rnacentral:lncRNA from 1 species
AUGAUUGACAUGCAACACAGUUGGGUCACUCCAAGUUGUAUUGCUCAAAAUGUAUUUUUACUUUUCUGGCUCCUGUCUCAUAAUUGUGUUUAUCUUUUUAAGGUUUCAGUGUGGAAUAACGUAUACAAAGACAUUUCUAGAAUGCUUGAAGAAAAUGAAAAAUACAGACUUAGGCUUAAAUGUCAAAGAUCAUCUAAUGAAAAUGCAAAUUGUACAAAAUGAAGUUUUCUGUCAUCUUCUGGAUUAACCUAUCCUUGGGUCUAUUUCCCAGUGAAGAUUAUGAAAAGUUGGAAGAUGGAACAUUAAAUGGAAUGAUAUUUAUUCAUUAUUUUGGUGUGUUUUGUUGGAAUUAGGACUUUAUAAAUUGGAUGAAAAAAUGACUUUAUAAAUUAAUGGUAUUUCUUUGCAAGUCAAUGAAAAUUUUAGUUCAAAGUUGUUAUAUGCAUGCAAGUGUUAUUUUCAGAAUUAAUACUUAUUUUGGAUACUUCAAACAAUCGUAUACAUAAAAUUUAAAUUAACAUGUCAGUACAAUUGCAUGUAUUUAUAAUUGGAAACUUUUCCUUUUCAUUAGUGAGUCUGCUAUUGCUACUUUAUACAUCCCAUCUUUUAUAUGUAACUGCUUUAAAUUAAACUUGCAUUCAUU